GAUGAACGCUGGCGGCGUGCCUAAUACAUGCAAGUCGAGCGAACAGACGAGGAGCUUGCUCCUCUGACGUUAGCGGCGGAGGGGUGAGUAACACGUGGAUAACCUCCCUAUAAGACUGGGAUAACUUCGGAAAACCGGAGCUAAUACCGGAUAAUAUAUUGAACCGCAUGGUACAUUAGUGAAAGACGGUUUUGCUGUCACUUCUAGAUGGAUCCGCGCCGCAUUGGCUAGUUGGUAAGGUAACGGCUUACCAAGGCAACGAUGCGUAGCCGACCUGAGAGGGUGAUCGGCCACACUGGAACUGAGACACGGUCCAGACUCCUACGGGAGGCAGCAGUAGGGAAUCUGCCGCAAUGGGCGAAAGCCUGACGGAGCAACGCCGCGUGAGUGAUGAAGGUCUUCGGAUCGUAAAACUCUGUUAUUAGGGAAGAACAAAUGUGUAAGUAACUAUGCACGUCUUGACGGUACCUAAUCAGAAAGCCACGGCUAACUACGUG
rnacentral:rRNA from 1 species